CAACCCUCAGGCCCCCGGGCCUGGCGUUGGGGAUCGGCGGAGCCCCCCGUGGGCACACGCCGUCCCCCAAAUACAGUGGCGGUCCCGCCGCAGCUUCCAUUGCGUAGUAGCUAACACCUCGCAACUGGAGAGCGGCGCGGCCACGCCGUAAAACACCCAACUUCUGAA
rnacentral:misc_RNA from 1 species